UGCUGAUGUCAAUGAUGCUCAGGCAAGGACAAAUAAGUAAGAAAAACAGAGCCAUAAAAGUAAUACUUAGAAGUUAAGCAAUUUGCCCAUAGUCACAAAGGGAGUCUGUCAAUGGCUGAGUCGAGUACAACGAAAGUUUCCUGAGUCCCAUUCUGCUGGAAUCCACAUCACAAGCUGUUUGCCAAAUGGAAAAGAUUCCUGGUGGGGUGAAGAGGGGAAGACUGGAACAUCUCUAUACUUCGCCAAUCAGCAGCUGCCUGAGUAGCCCUUGGGGGCCAUUGCAACAAGAGUGCAAGUUAGAACUGCUGUAACUUACACCAGAAGCUGAACCUGCUCCCAGUGACAUAUCUCAGAGGCAUAAAGGUGACACCCACAACUACCUUUUCAGGUACAACAAUGAAGAAGCCAGACAGUGCUGAUGGCCUAUCUGCAAAAGACAAAGGACCCUGGAAGAACUUAACAUUCCUGUGAACAUUCCAGACAGCCUGUAAGUAAUGACUGCUAUGACUCAGCAAAGUAUGCCAGGUCAUGUGACCAGGCCACAUGACUCUGGACUCCAUCUUGGGAUGUCAGUGUUUUUCCACAAAUUGAGUUUGGUACAAAGGGUUCCUGCCAUAUGAUAAAGCUAUACAAGGCAGGGAGUGGCAUCAUUUGUUGUUAUUCACUCCCCAUACAAGAGGACUCCUGAAAACACCUGAGGAACAAAGACUGAACUGGGGGAGGUGCUGGACCCAGGCUAAAGGGAUUUCUAGCCUGUGUAAGAAAAUGUGGAGAUCCCAAGCUGCAUAACAAGAAUAGCUUGUGCCUUAAGAAUCUGCAGCCUGCUUGUAUUAUCAGCCAGACUGAGAAUUUCCUAAUUCAUAUCCUAUCUUUCAUGUAUCUCAGGCUUAAUUUGCGUUUUUAUUUGUUUACUAGGUGAUCUGCUUUGAUCUGUUUGC